rnacentral:misc_RNA from 1 species
GAUGAAAACGUAGCGAAAUGCGAUACUUGGUGUGAAUUGCAGAAUCCCGUGAACCAUCGAGUCUUUGAACGCAAGUUGCGCCCGAAGCCGUCAGGCCGAGGGCACGCCUGCCUGGGCGUCACACGCCGUUGCCCCCCCGCGCCCCGCACCCAACUCUUUGGGAGCGACCGCGGGGCGGGCUGAUGAUGGCCUCCCGUGCGCUCCGCCGCGCGGUUGGCCCAAAUACCGAGUCCCCGGCGACGUGCGCCACGACGAUCGGUGGUUGAGAGACCUCUGUCGCAAGUCGUGCGCGCCCGUCGCGUCACGCGGGCUCGCAUAGCGCCUCGCGCCGCACCCGGUGCGGAGCUUUCAACGCGACCCCAGGUCAGGCGGGGUUACCCGCUGAAUUUAAGCAUAUCAAUAAGCGGAGGA